rnacentral:rRNA from 1 species
AUUGAACGCUGGCGGCAGGCCUAACACAUGCAAUUCGACCGAGCGGCGGAGGGGUGAGUACUUCCUGGGAAUUGCACAGUCGAGGGGGAUAACAGUUGGAAACUACUUCUAAUACCACAUACGAUAGUAUUGCCCAGGUGUGAUUAGCUAAUUGGUGAGGUAAUGGCUCACCAAGGCGACGAUCCCUAGCUGGUCUGAGGGGGUGAUCAGCCACACUGGAACUGAGACACGGUCCAGACUCCUACGGGAGGCAGCAGUGGGGAAUAUUGCACAAUGGGGGAAACCCUGAUGCAGCCAUGCCGCGUGUGUGAAGAAGGCCUUCGGGUUGUAAAGCACUUUCAGCGAGGAGGCGUUACUCGCAGAAGAAGCACCGGCUAACUCCGUGCCAGCCGCCGCGGUAAUAC